UACGUGAGGGGCGAGCGUUGUCCGGAUUUAUUGGGCGUAAAGAGCUCGUAGGCGGUUUGGUAAGUUGGAUGUGAAAUCUCCAGGCUCAACUUGGAGGGGUCAUUCGAUACUGCCAUGACUAGAGUUCGGUAGGGGAGUGUGGAAUUCCUGGUGGAGCGGUGAAAUGCGCAGAUAUCAGGAGGAACACCCGUAGCGAAGGCGGCACUCUGGGCCGGAACUGACGCUGAGGAGCGAAAGCGUGGGGAGCGAACAGG
rnacentral:rRNA from 1 species